AAAUGCGAUAAGUAAUGUGAAUUGCAGAAUUCAGUGAAUCAUCGAAUCUUUGAACGCACCUUGCGAUCCUUGGUAUUCCUUGGAGCAUGCCUGUUUGAGUAUCAUGAAAUCUUCAAAGUAAAUCUUUUGUUAACUCAAUUGGUUUCUACUUUGGUAUUGGAGGUCUUUGCAGCUUCACACCUGCUCCUCUUUGUUCAUUAGCUGGAUCUCAGUGUUAUGCUUGGUUCCACUCGGCGUGAUAAGUUAUCUAUCGCUGAGGACACUGUAAAAGGUGGCCAAGGUAAAUGCAGAUGAACCGCUUCUAAUAGUCCAUUGACUUGGACAAUACUUUUAUGAUCUGAUCUCAAAUCAGGUAGGACUACCCGCUGAACUUAAGC
rnacentral:misc_RNA from 1 species